UACGAAGGGGGCUAGCGUUGUUCGGAUUUACUGGGCGUAAAGGGCGCGUAGGCGGCCACCGCAAGUCAAUUGUGAAAUCUCCGGGCUUAACUCGGAAAGGUCAACUAAUACUGCGGGGCUAGAGUGCGGAAGGGGCAACUGGAAUUCUCGGUGUAGCGGUGAAAUGCGUAGAUAUCGAGAGGAACACCUGCGGCGAAGGCGGGUUGCUGGGCCGACACUGACGCUGAUGCGCGAAAGCCAGGGGAGCGAACGGG
rnacentral:rRNA from 1 species